rnacentral:rRNA from 1 species
GAUGAACGCUGGCGGCGUGCCUAAUACAUGCAAGUCGAGCGAACAGAUGAGGAGCUUGCUCCUCUGACGUUAGCGGCGGACGGGUGAGUAACACGUGGAUAACCUACCUAUAAGACUGGGAUAACUUCGGGAAACCGGAGCUAAUACCGGAUAAUAUAUUGAACCGCAUGGUUCAAUAGUGAAAGACGGUUUUGCUGUCACUUAUAGAUGGAUCCGCGCCGCAUUAGCUAGUUGGUAAGGUAACGGCUUACCAAGGCAACGAUGCGUAGCCGACCUGAGAGGGUGAUCGGCCACACUGGAACUGAGACACGGUCCAGACUCCUACGGGAGGUAGCAGUAGGGAAUCUUCCGCAAUGGGCGAAAGCCUGACGGAGCAACGCCGCGUGAGUGAUGAAGGUCUUCGGAUCGUAAAACUCUGUUAUUAGGGAAGAACAAAUGUGUAAGUAACUAUGCACGUCUUGACGGUACCUAAUCAGAAAGCCACGGCUAACUACGUG